AGAGCCUGGCUCUCCCUGGGAGGAGAUGCAACCUCAACAAUCCUGGGCCAGUCCCAUUCUUUUUGGAUGUGGAAAUUGAGCCUGCCCAGGAUUGCUUGGCUGAGAGGCUGCCGUGUUGGGAUUUGCUCCUGACUUGCAACCACCUGACUCCACAGGGAUGAGGCAGUAGAGACAGCCCUGCCCCAUCCUCAGUAUCCUGGGAAUGUGUUGGAGGGUAUGGGUGGCCCCGACUGGGACACUGGGAUGACGGUUGGAAACAAGGGAGGUGAGUGUGCCAUGUCCCGGCUCAAAUGAGGAAGGGCCCAGUGUGACCUCGGCUUUCCCAGGAGCCUGAGGGACUUUUGCAUCUGUAUUUUUAAAUGCUGGUGGCCACAGGGCAGGUUGUGGCCUUGAGUAGGGGAGGCACCGACUUCCAGGGAAAAGGCUGGAGUUUCAGGAAAGGGACUGUCCCUCCUGGAUAGGCACCAUGCUCCACCCUGCCAGGGUGGGCUUGAGAAGAGGGGCUUCUAAUUCAAUGGGAGGGCUCCUACUUAGGGAGUGGCUAGGCUGAUAGGGGUGGCAUGAUUUCCCCCAACUCAAGUCAAGAAGGAACCACUAAUCUGAUGGAGGAGGCACAUACCAGCUCCCUCCUGGGGAAAUUUAUAUUUCCUAGUCUAAUUUGAUGGACAAAACUUAAUUUUACUCGGACAGCACUCCUAGUCCCAAGAAGGAUUCAAGAUUUACAGCGUAGUGAGCUCUAGUCUGAUGGAGGAGGCAGGACCCAAACCCACCCACAGGGAGGUUUCCUAUGAGGGUGGAGGCAUGCCUGUUAUCUUCAGGAAGCUCUAGUCUAGUCUGACAUUCAUCCAAAUGUCUUCUGGGGAGGAGGGGCAAAAUUGCUCCCCUCAAUUGAGAAUCUAGACAGAGGAGGGAGUCAUGCUGCCCCACCCCAUUUUUUUUUCCUUUUAGAUCUAGUCCUGAACCCAGAUGCCCCAUGCAUCUUCACGGAACCGAUGGGAGAAGCAAAAUCCACUUUUAGAGAUAUCUAAUCUGUGAAGAAGUCACACUUUCAUUCUCAGGGAGAUUCUGAUCUGAUGGAGGAGGAAGAAUGCAAUUCAAACCCUCAAGGAACUCUUACACUGAUGGGAAACAUGUCCCCACCUUGGGGGCCUCCAAGUCUGAUGGCAGAGGUCUUCCUCCCAUCCUUGGGAAGCUCUAGUCCAAUGAGGGAGGCACUCCCCCACCAUGUCAGUGCCUUCCUUCCCGUACCUUCUCCCUGCCCUCUGGCUGCCCGAAUGAGCAGGGCAGGGGGCUUCCCCUCCCCACCUCCCUGGUGAAUCCUAGAAUCAGGGAACUUCUGCAGGAGGACACCACGGUUCCCCAGCCCUGGGACUUCCCUUUCUCCGUCAGCCCAAACCCAGGGCCUCACUGGGGGGGCCAGACAUGCCUGCCCUGCUGAUCAUGGCUCACCUAUCACCCCAGCCCCCAUGACAUCACCUGGUUAUUGCAUGUCCACAGCAUCCCAGGCUCCGCGGGGACUUUCCAUGCUUGACCUCGCCAGUGCCCUACCCUGAGAGGGAGGAGUCUGUCCCCA
ensembl:lncRNA novel transcript